rnacentral:sRNA from 1 species
CUUAAAUGCCUUGAAAACACACAUGCACCGUCACAUGGUCCCGGGUGCCGCGGGAAGGCCUUGCGAGGCCCAAUCAGCGGUCGGAUCCAUGGGGUGCGUGGAGGCCUAAC